rnacentral:rRNA from 1 species
GACGAACGCUGGCGGCGUGCUUAACACAUGCAAGUCGAACGGAAAGGCCCUGCUUUUGUGGGGUGCUCGAGUGGCGAACGGGUGAGUAACACGUGAGUAACCUGCCCUUGACUUUGGGAUAACUUCAGGAAACUGGGGCUAAUACCGGAUAGGAGCUCCUGCUGCAUGUUGGGGGUUGGAAAGUUUCGGCGGUUGGGGAUGGACUCGCGGCUUAUCAGCUUGUUGGUGGGGUAGUGGCUUACCAAGGCUUUGACGGGUAGCCGGCCUGAGAGGGUGACCGGCCACAUUGGGACUGAGAUACGGCCCAGACGCCUACGGGAGGCAGCAGUGGGGAAUAUUGCACAAUGGGCGGAAGCCUGAUGCAGAAACGCCGCGUGCGGGAUGACGGCCUUCGGGUGGUAAACAGCUUUCGACUGUGACGAAGCGUGAGUGACGGUAAUGGGUAAAGAAGCACCGGCUAACUACGUG